rnacentral:rRNA from 1 species
UACGAGGGGGGCGAGCGUUGUUCGGAUUUACUGGGCGUAAAGCGCGCGUAGGCGGGAAGAGAAGUCCGGUGGGAAAGCCCACGGCUCAACCGUGGAAGAACGCUGGAAACUCUCAUUCUUGAGGGCGGCAGAGGGAAGUGGAAUUGCUGGUGUAGCGGUGAAAUGCGUAGAUAUCAGCAGGAACACCCGUGGCGAAGGCGGCUUCCUGGGCCGCCCCUGACGCUGAGGCGCGAAAGCGUGGGGAGCGAACGGG